rnacentral:rRNA from 1 species
CUCCCUAAGGGAGGCAGCAGUGGGGAAUUUUGGACAAUGGGCGCAAGCCUGAUCCAGCCAUGCCGCGUGAGUGAAGAAGGCCUUCGGGUUGUAAAGCUCUUUCGGCCGGGAAGAAAUCGCAUCGGUUAAUACCUGGUGUGGAUGACGGUACCGGAAUAAGAAGCACCGGCUAACUACGUGCCAGCAGCCGCGGUAAUACGUAGGGUGCGAGCGUUAAUCGGAAUUACUGGGCGUAAAGCGUGCGCAGGCGGUUUUGUAAGACAGGCGUGAAAUCCCCGGGCUCAACCUGGGAACUGCGCUUGUGACUGCAAGGCUAGAGUACGGCAGAGGGGGGUGGAAUUCCACGUGUAGCAGUGAAAUGCGUAGAGAUGUGGAGGAACACCAAUGGCGAAGGCAGCCCCCUGGGUCGAUACUGACGYUCAUGCACGAAAGCGUGGGUAGCAAACAGGAUUAGAUACCYUGGUAGUCCACGCCCUAAACGAUGUCAACUAGGUGUUGGGAGGGUAAARCCUUUUAGUACCGGAGCUAACGCGUGAAGUGACCKCCUGGGGRKKWSSSCCMMMC